rnacentral:tRNA from 1 species
UGCAUCUGUUGCCUAGAGGCCGAAGGCAGUGGACUCAUAAUCCACCAUCUGUAAAGACGUCGCUGGUUCGAAUCCAGCCAGAUGCAU